UACGGGGGGAGCAAGCGUUGUUCGGAUUUACUGGGCGUAAAGGGCGCGUAGGCGGUCAGCACAAGUCAGUUGUGAAAUCUCCGGGCUUAACUCGGAAAGGUCAACUGAUACUGUGCGACUAGAGUGCAGAAGGGGCAACUGGAAUUCUCGGUGUAGCGGUGAAAUGCGUAGAUAUCAAGAGGAACACCUGCGGCGAAGGCGGGUUGCUGGGCCGACACUGACGCUGAGGCGCGAAAGCGUGGGGAGCAAACAGG
rnacentral:rRNA from 1 species